GCAGUCGCCGCGGUAAUACGAAGGGGGCUAGCGUUGUUCGGAAUUACUGGGCGUAAAGCGCACGUAGGCGGACAUUUAAGUCAGGGGUGAAAUCCCGGGGCUCAACCCCGGAACUGCCUUUGAUACUGGGUGUCUAGAGUAUGGAAGAGGUGAGUGGAAUUCCGAGUGUAGAGGUGAAAUUCGUAGAUAUUCGGAGGAACACCAGUGGCGAAGGCGGCUCACUGGUCCAUUACUGACGCUGAGGUGCGAAAGCGUGGGGAGCAAACAGGAUUAGAUACCCGUGUAGUCCCUGUCUCUUAUAC
rnacentral:rRNA from 1 species